CCCCUCUCAGGGCGGCAUCUGGAGAGUUUCCAGUACUCUACCAGUUUCAAUUACGGGAGGGAGAGUCAAGCAGAGGAAUAUCCAUUCCGUUCAUAGCUUGGGCAGUGGCUAGCAAGUGGAAGGCAAUCUGCUACAAGU